UGCAGACUGCAGACAUGAGGGCCCUGUGUGGUGGGAUUUUCAAAGACGUCCACGGCAACAGUAAUCCUGGUGUUUGUGAGAUGAUCUUGGAUUGACCUGCGGAGACGCAGUGAGCUCAAACCCACCCGAGCCAAGACGAGCCUCAGGGUCACCGCCAGCCUUCACGACAGCAGAUGAACCAGCAGCACGUUAAAGAAACAGCAGCAGGGACCUCCGGCUCAGUCGUGCUCUUUCCAGAGAGGAAGGGGAUGAUCUUCUCAAACAGCAGGAUGCAGCUCGCCACGCCUGGGGACACACGUGGAAGACACAGGACGUCAGACUUUGGUGGACAUACAGGAGCCAAUAAGGCUCCAACAAAGACAUUUCAGGUAAUAAACGCACCUGCGUAAACCAGCGCGGUGAUCACGGCGGCGAUGAAGUGAACUCGCAGUUUU